UACGAAGGUCCCAAGCGUUAUCCGGAUUUAUUGGGUUUAAAGGGUGCGUAGGCGGGCUAUUAAGUCAGUGGUGAAAGCCUCAAGCUUAACUUGAGAAUUGCCAUUGAUACUGAUGACCUUGAGUACAUUUGAAGUGGGCGGAAUGUGUCAUGUAGCGGUGAAAUGCUUAGAUAUGACACAGAACACCGAUUGCGUAGGCAGCUCACUAAACUGUAACUGACGCUGAGGCACGAAAGCGUGGGGAUCAAACAGG
rnacentral:rRNA from 1 species